rnacentral:rRNA from 1 species
UACGAAGGGGGGCUAGCGUUGUUCGGAAUUACUGGGCGUAAAGCGCGCGUAGGCGGUGAUCUUUGUCAGAGGUGAAAUCCCGAGGCUCAACUUCGGAAUUGCCUUUGAAACGGGGAUUGCUUGAGUCCGAGAGAGGAUGGCGGAAUUCCUAGUGUAGAGGUGAAAUUCGUAGAUAUUAGGAAGAACACCGGUGGCGAAGGCGGCCAG